AGCGAACGCUGGCGGCAGGCCUAACACAUGCAAGUCGAACGAACUCUUCGGAGUUAGUGGCGGACGGGUGAGUAACACGUGGGAACGUGCCUUUUGGUUCGGAAUAACUCAGGGAAACUUGUGCUAAUACCGAAUGUGCCCUUCGGGGGAAAGAUUUAUCGCCAUUAGAGCGGCCCGCGUCUGAUUAGCUAGUUGGUGAGGUAACGGCUCACCAAGGCGACGAUCAGUAGCUGGUCUGAGAGGAUGACCAGCCACACUGGGACUGAGACACGGCCCAGACUCCUACGGGAGGCAGCAGUGGGGAAUCUUGCGCAAUGGGCGAAAGCCUGACGCAGCCAUGCCGCGUGAAUGAUGAAGGUCUUAGGAUUGUAAAAUUCUUUCACCGGGGACGAUACUGACGGUACCCGGAGAAGAAGCCCCGGCUAACUUCG
rnacentral:rRNA from 1 species